rnacentral:rRNA from 1 species
UACGAAGGGGGCUAGCGUUGCUCGGAAUCACUGGGCGUAAAGCGCACGUAGGCGGAUCGUUAAGUCGGAGGUGAAAUCCUGGAGCUCAACUCCAGAACUGCCUUCGAUACUGGCGAUCUUGGAGUCCGGGAGAGGUGGGUGGAACUGCGAGUGUAGAGGUGAAAUUCGUAGAUAUUCGCAAGAACACCAGUGGCGAAGGCGGCUCACUGGCCCGGUACUGACGCUGAGGUGCGAAAGCGUGGGGAGCAAACAGG